rnacentral:lncRNA from 1 species
AUUAGUAUAGCUUCACGAAAAAACAGAGAUAAGUUUAAUACUUAAAAGACAGAAAUUAUAAUUUUGAAAAUAAGUUUGGAGAAUAUUUCAAGUAAACUAAAAAAUAUUUUAUUUUCAAAGAAAAUUCAUGUCGAAAAGCAUGACUGCAAAUGACAAAAGUGAAAAACUUUUACUCACAUAGACCAAAAUAUAGGAAAAACCUUAUUCUUUUGUUUCUUUCAAAAUAUUUCAUUCAGAUAAAUGAUUUCAUAAAAAGAAUGAUUUGGAUAUUUGUAUAAAAUUUGGAGAAAAUCAAAAUUUUAAAAAGUUUGUAACAAUUAUUUUUGGAUGAGAUAAGGCACAAAUAUCCGAUGAAGGAAGUUCACAAGGAUAAAAAAGAGGAUGACGACGAUGAUGAUGAUGUAACCCAUUGCCAAUAUGAAUCAUUUUCAUAAAUUCUUCAGAAUUCAAUCAAAGAAGAACCAAGUUCGUAAGUUUUUCUCUUCAUUAUAUUUCCUUUAUUUGAUGAUAUAUUCAUUCAUGCCUAGAAUUUUUGUAGUUUUAAUUUGUUGUUGUAUCUUUAAUAAAAGUUAAGUUGUUUGACUUUAAAUCGUUUAACUUAAUUAAUUAUUAGAUUCAAAACAUUUUCUUAUAACCUGAAAUAAGUGGUUUAUUCAACAUUGAAUGAAAGGAUAUAAUUAAUUUUCUCAAUCUGCAAACUAAAAAGUAAAUCUGCAACUAGUGGUUCAAACUUUUUAUCAAUUUGAAUAUCAUAUUUGGUCAAUAUUUAUCUUCAACUCAUUUCUGCCUGCAAAGGUUAAAGAAUCCACCGUUGGGAUUUCAAAAAGUGAUUAUUUUUCUCUGUCAAUUCAGGGACUUGCUUCUAUUAUGAAAGUGCAUACUGAAUAUAAGUAAACUAGAACACAAGGACUGAGGUUCAUAUAAAAGAUCCCAAUUGACUGCACAAGUUACAGGCGGAGAUGUUUCCAUGCAUUUUACAAUUUCUAUGCAGUUGACGUAUACACAGAUGCGGAUAAUCUUUUUAUAUACAGUUCAUAUUGGGUUUAAUAUGCAUGAAAAAAGGUGUGAAUGGAAAAUGGAGGGACACAACUUUUGAGAAAAAGACAUAUUGUUUUGGAAAAAGAGUGACUAUUCAAAUAGUUGUGUCUGUUUGGAAAAAAGACUCAAUGUUUCGAAUGAACAGACAUGACUCUUCCAAAGGAUACACCUUUUCGGAUAAACCAUUGCCACCUUUCGGAAGGGGUACUUGAUGGCUAUAUAAACCUGCAUUUAUCCACAGGUUUAGGUAUGAAAAAUUUUCUGAAUAUACAAACUCUUCUUGUCUUCAAAACAUUCCGUGUGAUCCAUCAAAUCGUUAAGUGAGUUCGAAGAGAUUUCAAUUGUUUGAGGUACCACUACAGUUGGUUUGUUUGGCCAUUUUAUCCUGGGAGGAAAAUUCCACAACCUCGGGUACUUGAGGGGAAUUAUUUCCUUAAGGACACUACGUGAAUUCCGAGGAAUUGGCCAUUUCUGUUUCAUCUUAAUUUCUGAAAAAUAAAACACACUUCUUUGACAGAUUAUUUUGAUCUUGUGUUAAGGGUGUUGUUGUACUUCAUAGUGUUCUUGUUUUAAACUUGAACUAGUGUUGAAGUAGUGUUGCGAAAAUGUAGAUUGUUUGUACCCGAAGACUACAGUCAUGGCAUAGAAACAAAGGCCCUCCAGUAGCUUCUGUUUUAGCAUCAUCUCAUGCUGGAUCAAUUACUCAAUUCCUUUGCCAAAUACUUGUCCAUCAACUCCACCAGCGCGUAUAUUUCACUUUUCUGGACCGAAUUAGCUAAAAGUUGAGGCUGAAUUUGGAAUGCCAAACCAAGUCCUUCGAUCAUGCAUAGUUCACUCUUAGUUGGAUUGAAGGAUGUGUGCAUCUCACGUGAGAUUUGUAUGUAUGACGCGUAUGUUUACUGUAUGACUUUAUGAUAAUUUAGUGUCUACUUGUACACACCCAAAUUGGAGGGUAUAGAUUUUUGAUUUUGUGAAUACCAGCUAUUGUUUACUCACAAUAUUACUGGAACUAGAGAGAAAAUGUAAGAAAAGGAGAUUGCUAAGUAUUUUGAGAAAUUAUCUUGCUUACUUUAUUACACUACAGAAUGGUGGUGUUAUAUACAGUUGUUGUGGAAUGCCAGCUAAGAGCCAACAUAACUAUAUAAUAACCAUCUCUAACUAGCUAGACACAUAAUAGAAUAUAACAAAAGAAUUAAACUGGAACCCUCCACAAGCUAUCAUAACGCACUACAGUCUACUUCAUCAGGACAAUUCUACACAUUUGCCUAACUCUUCAGUCUUCACCCCCCCUCAAGCUUGG